rnacentral:rRNA from 1 species
GAUGAACGCUGGCGGCGUGCCUAAUACAUGCAAGUCGAGCGAACGGACUAGAAGCUUGCUUCUCUGAUGUUAGCGGCGGACGGGUGAGUAACACGUGGAUAACCUACCUAUAAGACUGGGAUAACUUCGGGAAACCGUAGCUAAUACCGGAUAAUAUUUUGAACCGCAUGGUUCAAAAGUGAAAGACGGUCUUUCUGUCACUUAUAGCUGGAUCUACGCUGCAUUAGCUAGUUGGUAAGGUAACGGCUUACCAAGGCAACGAGGCAUAGCCGACCUGAGAGGGUGAUCGGCCACACUGGAACUGAGACACGGUCCAGACUCCUACGGGAGGCAGCAGUAGGGAAUCUUCCGCAAUGGGCGAAAGCCUGACGGAGCAACGCCGCGUGAGUGAUGAAGGUCUUCGGAUCGUAAAACUCUGUUAUUAGGGAAGAACAUAUGUGUAAGUAACUGUGCACAUCUUGACGGUACCUAAUCAGAAAGCCACGGCUAACUACGUG